AGGGCAGAGCAUGAUUUGACCACAGACACGUGUGGACUGUGACGUUCGGCAGCAAACUGAUUCAACUGGAUUCCUCGCACCAGUACAGCUCAAGUGACACAGUCAGCUCAAACGUGAUCGCGCGGAUAUUGUGGACAUCACGCAAAUGUGCAAAGAGUGUUCCUGCUGUCUACAACUCUGCAGCAGGACAUCAGCAGCAGAGUUUCAAGAGGAGCUCCAGGCUCUUAAAGCGAGGCUGCAGGUGGAGAAAGAUGAGAGGAUCAAAGCUUAAAGAUGAAAAUGAGAGGUUGAUGAAUCACCUUAAUGCACCUGCCCCCUGCUUGCUCCUACAUGCUUUUAAUUAAGAAAGAAGAAAAAAAAUUACUUAAACAUUUGAAUUUUCUACUUCUGUCAGAGAUGCUGUUUCCUCUAUAAAUGGGACCCAUUCCUGCUACUGUCCUAUUUUAUAAAUGUUACAUUUUGUUUCCCUUUU